UUCUUAUCAGUCCAACCAUCUGCCAUUAUGGAACAACUAUACUUUGCCCAUUCUUCUUCAUAGGAUUUUAAUGAAUUCUUCACCUCAGCAACUUCAUCAUUCAAUAAGGGAACCCGCACCUCAUGAAAGCUAGGUGCUUUCAUACCAAUCCCAAAUUGUCCAAUAGACUCCACCAUAACUUGAAAACUUGGAUAAUUGACAGCAUUAAAAGGAAUUGCCGCAUCAUACAUCCAUCGAGCUAUAUCCUUACAUGCUUUUUUUCUCAAUUCCUUUUUACAUGCCUCAUUAAUAGUGGUUU
rnacentral:misc_RNA from 1 species